rnacentral:rRNA from 1 species
GAUGAACGCUGGCGGCGUGCCUAAUACAUGCAAGUCGAGCGAACGGACGAGGAGCUUGCUUCUCUGAUGUUAGCGGCGGACGGGUGAGUAACACGUGGAUAACCUACCUAUAAGACUGGGAUAACUUCGGGAAACCGGAGCUAAUACCGGAUGAUAUUUUGAACCGCAUGGUUCAAAAGUGAAAGACGGUCUUGCUGUCACGUAUAGAUGGAUCCGGGCUGCAUUAGCUAGUUGGUAAGGUAAUGGCUUACCAAGGCAACGAUGCAUAGCCGACCUGAGAGGGGGAUCGGCAACACUGGAACGGAGACACGGCCCAGACUCCUACGGGAGGCAGCAGUAGGGAAUCUUCCGCAAUGGGCGAAAGCCUGACGGAGCAACGCCGCGUGAGUGAUGAAGGUCUUCGGAUCGUAAAACUCUGUUAUUAGGGAAGAACAUAUGUGUAAGUAACUGUGCACAUCUUGACGGUACCUAAUCAGAAAGCCACGGCUAACUACGUG